UUCUUGUUUCCUUGGUGGGUUCGCCCACCACUAGGACAAACAUAAACCUUUUGUAAUUGCAAUCAGCGUCAGUAACAAAUUAAUAAUUACAACUUUCAACAACGGAUCUCUUGGUUCUGGCAUCGAUGAAGAACGCAGCGAAAUGCGAUAAGUAGUGUGAAUUGCAGAAUUCAGUGAAUCAUCGAAUCUUUGAACGCACAUUGCGCCCUUUGGUAUUCCAAAGGGCAUGCCUGUUCGAGCGUCAUUUGUACCCUCAAGCUUUGCUUGGUGUUGGGCGUCUUGUCUCUAGCUUUGCUGGAGACUCGCCUUAAAGUAAUUGGCAGCCGGCCUACUGGUUUCGGAGCGCAGCACAAGUCGCACUCUCUAUCAGCAAAGGUCUAGCAUCCAUUAAGCCUUUUUUUCAACUUUUGACCUCGGAUCAGGUAGGGAUACCCGCUGAACUUAAGCAUAUCAAUAAGCGGAGGA
rnacentral:rRNA from 1 species